GUUUCUGGCCAUACCACCAUGAACGCUCGAGAUCGCAUCUAAUCUCGGAAGCUAAGCAGGGCCGGGCCUGGUUAGUACUUGGAUAGGAGACUGCCUAGGAAUAGCAGGUACUGUAGGCU
rnacentral:rRNA from 1 species